rnacentral:snRNA from 1 species
UACCUAUCUCGGCCUUUUGGCUAAGAUCAAGUGUAGUAUCUGUUCUUAGCAACUUAACCGUUGCUAUGAGAUUCAAAGAAUCUCGUCUCAAUUUUUACUAAGGCUUUACCAAUUAAGGAAUUCGGCCUUGCUAAUCAUUUA